rnacentral:rRNA from 1 species
UAGGGAAUCUUCGGCAAUGGACGAAAGUCUGACCGAGCAACGCCGCGUGAGUGAAGAAGGUUUUCGGAUCGUAAAACUCUGUUGUUAGAGAAGAACAAGGACGUUAGUAACUGAACGUCCCCUGACGGUAUCUAACCAGAAAGCCACGGCUAACUACGUGCCAGCAGCCGCGGUAAUACGUAGGUGGCAAGCGUUGUCCGGAUUUAUUGGGCGUAAAGCGAGCGCAGGCGGUUUCUUAAGUCUGAUGUGAAAGCCCCCGGCUCAACCGGGGAGGGUCAUUGGGAACUGGGAGACUUGAGUGCAGAAGAGGAGAGUGGAAUUCCAUGUGUAGCGGUGAAAUGCGUAGAUAUAUGGAGGAACACCAGUGGCGAAGGCGGCUCUCUGGUCUGUAACUGACGCUGAGGCUCGAAAGCGAGGGGAGCAAACAGG